rnacentral:rRNA from 1 species
UACGUAUGGUGCAAGCGUUAUCCGGAUUUACAGGGCGUAAAGGGAGCGCAGGCGGUGCGCCAAGUCUGAUGUGAAACCCCGGGGCUCAACCCCGGGCAUGCAUUGGAAACUGGCGGGCUGGAGUGCCGGAGAGGUAAGCGGAAUUCCUAGUGUAGCGGUGAAAUGCGUAGAUAUUAGGAGGAACACCAGUGGCGAAGGCGGCUUACUGGACGGCAACUGACGCUGAGGCUCGAAAGCGUGGGGAGCAAACAGG